UUCGGACCGAGUGGCGCACGGGUGAGUAACACGUAACUGACCUACCCAGAAGUCAUGAAUAACUGGCCGAAAGGUCAGCUAAUACGUGAUGUGGUGAUUUGCCGUGGCAAAUCACUAAAGAUUUAUCGCUUCUGGAUGGGGUUGCGUUCCAUCAGCUGGUUGGUGGGGUAAAGGCCUACCAAGGCGACGACGGAUAGCCGGCCUGAGAGGGUGGCCGGCCACAGGGGCACUGAGACACGGGUCCCACUCC
rnacentral:rRNA from 1 species